rnacentral:sRNA from 1 species
AAGUAUAGCUUAACUGCCGCAAAUGGUUC